rnacentral:lncRNA from 1 species
AAUUACAGUGUAAAUCCAGAUAGAAAUUACAAUGCAAAUCCACUUAUAAAAAACACUGUAAACCACUAAUAAAUACACUGUAAUUUCAACAGUUUUACAGUGUAAAAUCAACUCAAAAAAGUUAACUGCAUUGACAAAAUGCACUGGAACAACCACAUAUACAUGGACGAACAUGGAGAAGCACCACCAGAGAGGGUGAUUCCUCCAAGAUCUGCUACACAAACUUCAACAACAUGGCUAGAGAAGCAGGAAAAACAUAGGUAAACACCCCUUCUCGCCCCCUCCUAUGCGUUCAUCACCUCCUAUCGUCUCCCUCCUGCCUGAAGAAAUCUGGAAGAAAGAACAGAUGAAAAAAGAACAUAAGCACACUAAGAAAGAACCAGCACAGAUCCUAGGAACAACCAGAACAUGGUCGCAUGUACUACUAGUCUAUGAUCACAAGAACACUAUAUACUGAAAACUAGAUGCCCAGAUCAUUGGUUUCUAGAUUUGCAGAAUAGGAACACACUACAGGGGACAAAAACACACUCAAAGAUCACUAGGCUAGCAAUUCCAUUUAGGGGACAAAUACAAGGGACAAAAACACACUACUAGGCUAGCAAUUCCAUUUAGGUAAAACUAGUUGAAAAUAUACAAGGUUGAGGAUUACUGCAGUUGAGAGAAUAUGUGACUAUUUCCACAAACUUUGGAAACUAAAAAACUAAAACACUAUUAAGAAACUUUGAUCUACUAGUUUAGACACUUCCUGUUGAAUGACCGAAUACAAGUAACUUUGGAAGUGUAAACUGCUAUGAACUGAUACUUGUUUACACUGAAUAUUGAUUAGCAUUAACAUAAACACUGAAAAUAGAAGUUAUCAGAAAAAAUGAGUAACACAAUCAGGCUAAAAACACUAAAGAUUACAGUGUAAAACCCACAAAGAAUUAUAGUGUAACUCUACUAAGAAUAACACUGUAAUCCAAUAAAGAUUACAGUGUAAAUACACCAAAAUUGUCAAUCUCUUUGCUACAAGAAUAGCUUAACCAAAAGGAAGACAAAGUACAAACCAUGUUACAGCAGUACGGAUUGAACCAAGUUCACCUAAAAAAGGGUCCGUGAAAAUUACAUCAAAGCCAAACUCCCCUAGCCUCCUUUACAACCCACACAGGCAAAGCAGCGAGAAAGGAGAAAAAGAACCCAACAUUACAAGGCAAGAAUUUCCCAUCUCUAAUCUAAAACUAACCACACACAAUUAAAAAGGAAAUGACAAAAACCACUAAAAUUACACUAUAAAAUCAACUAAAAUUACAUUAAGAUUUACACUAUAAAUACCGCUGUAAAACCAGCUUGAAUCCACUGUAAAAUCUACUACACUAAGAAAAACACUGAAAAUCCGGUAGGAAUUACAGUGUAGAUCCAGUAGGAAUUACACUGUAAUUCUACCUAGAUUUACACUGAAAUCGACCUAGAAUUACAGUGUAAAAUAUAAUAGGAAUUACAGUGUAAAUGUACCUAGAAUUACACUGUAAAAUCGACCUACAAUUACAGUGUAAAGAUAGUAGGAAUUACAGUGUAAAUGUACCUAGAAUUACACUGUAAAAUCGACCUACAAUUAUAGUGUAAAUAUAGUAGGAAUUACACUGUAAUUUUACCUAGAAUUACACUGUGAAAUCGACCUAGAAUUACACUGUAAAAUUGACCUACAAUUAUAGUGUAAAUAUAGUAGGAAUUACAGUGUAAAUGUACCUACAAUUACACUGUAAUUCUACCUAAAUUUACACUGUAAAAAUCAAGACUCACAGCGAAUGCAUAGUGACAACCGCCAAAUGUCAUUGAUCUCAUAGAAG